AUUGAACGCUGGCGGCGUGCCUAAUACAUGCAAGUCGAGCGAAGUGGCGGACGGGGGAGUAAUGCCUAGGAAUCUGCCUGGGAGUGGGGGAGAACGUCCGGAAACGGGGUCUCAUACCGCAUACUAUCAGAUGAGCGUAGGUCUGAUUAGCUAGUUGGGGGGGUAAAGGCCUACCAAGGCGACGAGCCGUAACUGGUCUGAGAGGAUGAUAAGUCACACUGGAACUGAGACACGGUCCAGACUCCUACGGGAGGCAGCAGUGGGGAAUAUUGGACAAUGGGCGAAAGCCUGAUGCAGCCAUGCCGCGUGUGUGAAGAAGGUCUUCGGAUUGUAAAGCACUUUAAGUUGGGAGGCGUUACCAACAGAAUAAGCACCGGCUAACUCCGUGCCAGCAGCCGCGGUAAUUC
rnacentral:rRNA from 1 species